GACGAACGCUGGCGGCGUGGAUUAGGCAUGCAAGUCGAACGGUAUCAUCCUUUCGGGGGUGAGAGAGUGGCGGACUGGUGAGUAACACGUAGGUUAUCUACCCUCAAGACGGGGACAACCCAGGGAAACUUGGGCUAAUACCGGAUGUGAGCAACUUUUAGUUGUUUGAAAGGUGGCGUAAGCUGUCGCUUGGGGAUGAGCCUGCGUCCUAUUAGUUAGUUGGUGAGGUAACGGCUCACCUAGGCAAUGAUAGGUAGGCGGCCUUAACGGGUGGUCGCCCACACUGGGAUUGAGAUACGGCCCAGACUCCUACGGGAGGCAGCAGUCGAGAAUAGUCUACAAUGGUCGGAAGACUGAUAGUGCGACGCCGCGUGAACGAUGAAUCCCUUCGGGGUGUAAAGUUCUUUUAUAUGUGAGCAGUGCUUCUUAUAUUAACAGUAUGGGGAGAGAGAUAUUAGCAUAUGAAUAAGCAACGGCUAACUCCGUGCCAGCAGCCGCGGU
rnacentral:rRNA from 1 species